AACGAACGUUGGCGGCGUGGAUUAGGCAUGCAAGUCGAACGAAUCCCAUUUGGGUAACUGAGUGGGGGAAGUGGCGAAAGGGGCAGUAAGGCGUGGGUAACCUACCCCGGGGAUCGGGAUAGCCAUCCUAACGGAUGGGUAAUACCGGGCGAUCUGACGAGGAGGCAUCUUUUUGUCAGGAAAUGAAUUUUGCCUCGGGAGGGGCUCACGUGAUAUUAGCUUGUUGGCGGGGUAACGGCCCACCAAGGCAAAGAUGUCUAGCGGGUGUGAGAGCACGACCCGCGCCACUGGCACCUGAGACACUGGCCAGACACCUACGGGAGGCAG
rnacentral:rRNA from 1 species